rnacentral:rRNA from 1 species
CCUACGGGUGGCAGCAGUGAGGAAUGUUGGUCAAUGGACGAGAGUCUGAACCAGCCAAGUAGCGUGAAGGAUGACUGCCCUAUGGGUUGUAAACUUCUUUUAUAUGGGAGUUAAAUGUUCUAUGUGUGGGAUUUUGUAUGUACCAUAUGAAUACGGAUCGGCUAACUCCGUGCCAGCCGCAGCGGUUAUUCGGAGGAUCCGAGCGUUAUCCGGAUUUAUUGGGUUUAAAGGGUGCGUAGGUGGAUUGUUAAGUCAGUUGUGAAAGUUUGCGGCUCAACCGUAAAAUUGCAGUUGAAACUGGCAGUCUUGAGUACAGUAGAGGUGGGCGUAAUUCGUGGUGUAGCGGUGAAAUGCGUAGAUAUCACGAAGAACACCGAUUGCGAAGGCAGCUCACUGGACUGCAACUGACACUGAGGCUCGAAAGUGUGGGUAUCAAACAGGAUUAGAUACCCCGGUAGUC